rnacentral:rRNA from 1 species
AACGACUCUCGGCAACGGAUAUCUCGGCUCUCGCAUCGAUGAAGAACGUAGCGAAAUGCGAUACUUGGUGUGAAUUGCAGAAUCCCGUGAACCAUCGAGUCUUUGAACGCAAGUUGCGCCCAAAGCCAUCAGGUUGAGGGCACGUC